rnacentral:rRNA from 1 species
AGUGAACGCUGGCGGUAGGCCUAACACAUGCAAGUCGAACGGCAGCACAGUAAGAUCUUGCUCUUACGGGUGGCGAGUGGCGGACGGGUGAGGUAUACAUCGGACUCUACUUUUUCGUGGGGGUUAACGUAGGGAAACUUACGCUAAUACCGCAUACGACCUUCGGGUGAAAGCAGGGGAUCUUUUCACCUUGUGCGGUUGAACUAGCCGAUGUUGGAUUUGCUAGUUGGCGGGGGAAAUGCCCACCAAGUCGACGAUCCGUAGCUUGUCUGAGUGGAUGAUCAGCCACACUAGAACGGGAACACGGUCCAGACGCCUGCGGGAGGCAGCAGUGGGGAAUAUUGGGCAAUGGUCGCAAGCCUGAUCCAACCAGACCACGUGGGUGAAGAAGGCCUUCGGGUUGUAAAGCCCUUUUGUUGGGAAAAAAAAGCAGCAGGUUAAUACCCCGCUGUUCUGACGGUACCCAAAGAAUAAGCACCGGCUAACUUCGUG